rnacentral:rRNA from 1 species
AAGAGACAGCAGCCGCCACGGUAAUACAGAGGAUGCAAGCAUUAUCCGGAAUGAUUGGGUGUAAAGCGUCUGUAGGUGGCUUUUCAAGUCCACCGUCAAAUCCCCAGGCUCAACCCUGGAUAGGCAGUGGAAACUACCAAGCUGGAGUAAGGUAGGGGCAGAGGGAAUUUCUGGUGGAGCGGUGAAAUGCGUUGAGAUCGGAAAGAACACCAACGGCGAAAGCACUCUGCUGGGCCGACACUGACACUGAGAGACGAAAGCUAGGGGAGCAAAUGGGAUUAGAGACCCCAGUAGUCCCUGUCUCUUAUAC